UACGUAGGAUCCGAGCGUUGUCCGGAAUUACUGGGUGUAAAGGGCGUGUAGGUGGGCCUGCAAGUCGGUGGUGAAAUCCUGCAGCUUAACUGCAGAACUGCCUCCGAGACUGUUGGUCUUGAGUGCGGCAGAGGGAGAUGGAAUUCAUGGUGUAGCGGUGAAAUGUGUAGAUAUCAUGAAGAACACCGGUGGCGAAGGCGGUCUCCUGGUCCGUAACUGACACUGAGGCGCGAAAGCGUGGGGAGCAAACAGG
rnacentral:rRNA from 1 species